UACAGAGGGGGCAAGCGUUGUUCGGAAUUACUGGGCGUAAAGGGCGCGUAGGCGGCCUGUUAAGUCGAACGUGAAAUCCCCGGGCUCAACCCGGGAACUGCGUCCGAUACUGGCAGGCUUGAAUCCGGGAGAGGGAUGCGGAAUUCCAGGUGUAGCGGUGAAAUGCGUAGAUAUCGUCUGGAACGCCGAAGGUGAAAACAGCUCGCUGGGGUUGUGCUGACGCUGAGACACGAAAGCCAGGGGAGCGAACGGG
rnacentral:rRNA from 1 species